UACGUAGGUGGCAAGCGUUGUCCGGAUUUACUGGGCGUAAAGAGCGCGCAGGCGGCUGGUCAAGUCCGAUGUGAAAUCUCCCGGCUUAACUGGGAAACUGCAUCGGAAACUGAUCGGCUUGAAGGUGGGAGAGGGUAGUGGAAUUCCCGGUGUAGUGGUGAAAUGCGUAGAUAUCGGGAGGAACACCAGUGGCGAAGGCGGGUCUCUGGGCAGUAACUGACGCUGAGGAGCGAAAGCGUGGGGAGCGAACAGG
rnacentral:rRNA from 1 species